AAGGGUAUUAAUCUUAAUUGGUAAAGACUAACACUACGGAUGUUAUAUUGUAAGUUCGAAUCUUACAUACCCUUG
rnacentral:tRNA from 1 species